GGGAGAGACCACCUCGCAAUGCAGUGUGGUCCGGAUCUUGGGGUCACCUGGAGAGAAGGGGAGGCGUUUGUUAAUGCAGAUAACUGGGUUCCUCCUUCCCCUUGGAUGAGGGGAAGUGGAGAGCUGUCUCAGUCGUCCGACCUGACAUACAUCAUCCAGGUCUGAAAACUCACUGCGAACUGCAUCCUUGGAACUGCGUCUUGCAGGUGCCAGUUUGAUUUUCCAGCCCAUAAUCAGUCCCUUUGGACCCAGGAUGAUGCCACUUGACACCCACUUACCUCUAGCGCUGUGAUUACCGUAUUACUAAGGCACUUGAAGUUCCAAAUAAAAGGCGCACCUCACUAUUAUUACAUUAAAAAGCAGCGGAUUUUCAAUAUUUCUCUAUUGAGUUUCUAUCACAAUCAAAUUUAACUUUUUCA
rnacentral:lncRNA from 10 species